UUGUGGUUAAAAAGCUCGUAGUUGGAUCUCGGCAGGCUUGGGGCGGUUUGCUUGCUAGUAUUACUGCCCUAUAGUCUGUAGUUUUGCCAGAGGUUUUAGGGUGCUCUUAAUCGAGUGUCCUGGGAUGCUGGCAGGUUUACUUUGAAAAAAUUAGAGUGCUCAAAGCAGGCUUUUACGCCUGAAUAUUCGUGCAUGGAAUAAUAGAAUAGGAAGUCGUUUCUAUUUUGUUGGUUUUCGGAAAUCGACUUAAUGAUUAAUAGGGACAGUCGGGGGCAUUUGUAUUCAAACGACAGAGGUGAAAUUCUUGGACCGUUUGAAGACAAACUACUGUGAAAGCAUUUGCCAAGAAUGUUUUCAUUAAUCAAGAACGAAAGUUAAAGGUUCGAAGGCGAUUAGAUACCGCCCUAGUUUUAACCAUAAACGAUGCCAGCUAGCGAUCUGCGGACGUUUUUUUUGUAGACUCCGCAGGAAGCUUCCGGGAAACCAAAGCAUUUGGGUUCCAGGGGAAGUAUGGUUGCAAAGCUGAAACUUAAAGGAAUUGACGGAAGGGCACCACCAGGAGUGGAGCCUGUGGCUUAAUUUGACUCAACACGGGAAAUCUCACCAGGCCCGGACACUGGAAGGAUUGACAGAUUGAUAGCUCUUUCUUGAU
rnacentral:rRNA from 1 species